GUCGCAAGACCAAAGAGGGGGACCUUCGGGCCUCUUGCCAUCGGAUGUGCCCAGAUGGGAUUAGCUAGUAGGUGGGGUAACGGCUCACCUAGGCGACGAUCCCUAGCUGGUCUGAGAGGAUGACCAGCCACACUGGAACUGAGACACGGUCCAGACUCCUACGGGAGGCAGCAGUGGGGAAUAUUGCACAAUGGGCGCAAGCCUGAUGCAGCCAUGCCGCGUGUAUGAAGAAGGCCUUCGGGUUGUAAAGUACUUUCAGCGAGGAGGAAGGGGAUGUGGUUAAUAACCGCAUUCAUUGACGUUACUCGCAGAAGAAGCACCGGCUAACUCCGUGCCAGC
rnacentral:rRNA from 1 species